GGCCGCUACCUAGCCUUCUUUUCCCAAGCAGAAUAACGAAUGAAGUCGAGGCGCAUGCUGAGGUUGAGUUUGCUGAGGAAUCUUCCUUCUUUCCUAGUAGCAGAAGAACGAAUGUCAAUGGCUCAUCUAUAAGCUCAGGUCUGUCAGUGAGCAGUGGCCACCAGCAGGCAGUGUGUGGCCGGCAGUGGCGUCGUGGAGGUUGCUGUAGUGGUGCUCUGCCAAAGCAAGGUGAUAUUCUGGAUCCUAAGAAGAAUACGAAUGCUUUAGGUUAGGAUGGUGGAGUGCAGAAGAGCAGUGCUACAGAGUGGCCUUGUGUGCGAGCACAUAAACAGAAGUGGAAGAAUAGAAGCUACCGAUCCCUGGCAGUCCGCAAGGCGCCAGCACAUCAGCGGUGGAUACCAGACUGACUCGAUUCUUGAAGCUGAGACACCGAUACUGGAACAAGCUUGUCUCCCUUACUAGAUGUUGAGUGAAGAAAGCGUGGACCACUAACCACCACCCCACUGACGACUGCACGGUGAGCCAGCAUCGCGCGUGUUGGGUCGAAGUUAAAUAGAUUUGCAGGAAAGAUAAAGAUAGAUCACUCACUUCAGGUCAUAAGAACCACGUGACUCCUGAACCUGCCACAACCCACCCCUGCCUCCCUGUCUCACCUUUCCACCAGGAUGGUGUUCCUCCAGCUCACUGACUUGAGUAAAUCCAGGUGCUAGACAGGACCAGCAACAGCAACCUCCAGUCCAUGUGUGCUGGUGACCUCAUCCUGGCAGCUAUGUCUAGGAAGGUUGGGGCAAGGUCAGAGUUGAGGGCAAUAUUGCUGAAUCUGUAAGCAGGCAGACGUGGCACCAUUAAUUCUGAGAUUGUAAAUAGGGUCUGCCACUAAUUCUCUGAGAUUCUAAGUGUUUCAGUUACUAAGGCCUGCUGGUAUAAUUUUGUAAAUGUCUUCCAUUUUCCUGAGAUGCUUCUAAAGAGAAGUCAUGUAUGUAAUUAGUAAUGAAGUAAUCUUAAACAGGUUUAUCAUUAAUGUAUGGAUUCUAUAACAUUAAAUGUGAUGAGUCAAGAUACUGAAGAAGGAAGUCGUCUAUCUACAA